GGUGUGGGGGGUGCACGCGCGGCCCGGGCGGUUUCGAGGCCCCCCCCGCGCACAGCCCGGAGCGCCCCGGGCCGAGAGCGCGAUCAAAGAGCGGCGAGAGGGGAGCGCACGGGCCGGGCUCCCGCAGAUUACGGUGGGCGAUUCAUCACAGGGGACGGCAGUCGAGUCAGGAGGGAGCGGCCGGGGGCCCACAGGGACAGAGCCGAGCACACUGGGACGCACGGACACGGCACGGGGACAGACAGAUGGACAAGGACAGCCGGGAACAGGCGGCUGCACCGCGGGGCACGGCCCAGCACAGGCGCUGGUGCAGCGGGACGUGCAGCUGCAGCACAGAGCCGUGCCCAGGGACACACCGAGGGACACGCUGACACGCACACCGAAGGACACGGGAUCACACCGGCAGCUCGGAGGCACAGCCUCCUUCUCCUCUUCCAUGGCCACCGUGUGAAGGCCGGUUGGAUCCCUCUCCGUGUGGGAAAGGCCAGGAAAAAGCCGUUAUGGAUUAUCCCAGCGCGUGGACUCGGUGCUGGAGGGGAGCACGGUGCAGAUCCCAGCGUUGGGGCUCUGCGGUGUUUGGCUGCCGGGGGUCCCGGAGCGCUGGGGAAGAGUUCCUUGACUGAAAAAGAAAACUGAAAAAGCCAAAAAAAGCGGCUGUGAGGCUCUUCCUUCCCCAGUGACGGCAGCGGGAGGGGGAAGGAUCCGGGGGAACCUCUUGUGCUGGCUGUUCUCCCAAGCUUCGUCCUCCUGGGAGCUGCCAAGCCCCCUCGGAAGAAAGAGGAGGCUGGAGGAUCCCCCAACACUCCUUGGGUGGGAGCUGGAGCAACCCCUGGCUCUGCCUGGACCCCCAGCACUGCUGCAGCGGGACCCCCUGGCUGGUGUGACCCACUGCCGUCCUCCAAGGCUCAUCCCAGGGCUCUGCAUGGCACGGAACAGCAGGUAUGGCUCCCAGGACAGGCAGUUUUCCAGCUGGCUGUGGCAUUCCCGGCGCGUCUCAAGGCCGUCUGCGUCCAAGGGUCGUGUUUGUGGUGCAGAGGGACGAGGUGGCUCAGCACCACUGUCCCCUCUGCUCCCAGCUCAGGGCCCUCGCCCCCUGCCCGGCGCUCCCCGGGGCUGGUGGGCAGCGGGGGGCACAGAGCCACAGCCGCUCGGGGGUCCGAGGAAAAAGGAAGGAACUUAACUCCCAUUAACCAUCCCAUUGUACUGGCCGUGGGAAUAAUCGGGUUUGCUAAUGCAAUUGCUGCCGCGAUGCGAAAAUCCGACUGGAAAAUGUAUUAGAGCAAUUAUCCGCCUCCCUCCGCAGCCGGCGGAGCAUUAAUAUUCAAUUUUGAUGUGGAAGCCCUAUUAUGUUAAUGACUUUGGUGACAAAAGUCGUUAAUGCAAGACGUUCCCUUCAUGGCAGCAGCAUCAGCCGGGGCGAGCAGGGGCUGCUGCCACGGGAUGGGAUGGGGCACGGUGCGAGGGUGCAGGGUGGGGCUGUGGGGGGUCCGGGAGGAGCCCCCUCCCCGGCCCUACGGGGGUCCUGGUGCUCGGGUCGAGCAGCCGCUCCACGUUCUGGAGGUGCCGGAGCUCCCGGGUCUGUGCCGGGGCGGAUUAGCCGCGCUGCAGCACACCCGGCAGCGCCGCUCCCUCCCCGCAGCUGCCCUCCUUUGUUCUCUGCCCGAGCCCGGGGAGAUGCACCGGGGGUUCCCCGCCUGCCGGGAGGCGCUGGCCGGUGUCCCGGCCAUCAGGUGACACUGGUGCCGUGCCCCUGCCCCGGUGCUGCUGCCGCGGUUUGGGCAGUGCCAUGGGCAGGCCUGGAUGGGUGGAUCUGGAGCUGUGGGCUGGUGGUGGGGGGCACAGGGAGGGGGGUGAGGAGCAAACCAUCAGUAGAAGCAGCACCCCCUGGCCUUGCCGUCAGCGGCCACCACUGCAGCUCCCAUGUCAGUGCCAUGGGCAGUGUGAGGCUGAGCUGCACCAUGACAGUGUCCCGGAGCUGCUGGAAGGGACAGGAAGGGGCAAACAUGGAGCUGAGAGCUGCCUGUGAUGGAGAAAACGACCAUGACCUUCACCUCUCCAGCAAAGGGCUUGUACCCUGGGCUGGGAGUGACUGAAGGCCCCGGCUUUGCUGUGAGUGUGGCUGGCAGAGGGUGGCCCUGUGGCACAGGAACCCAGCUGGCCUGGCACUGGGGCUGGUUGGAAAGGAGGAAAUUUUUCAGGGCCAAGGAGGGGACAGCAGAACCCAGACACAACCCAGGCAUAGGCUGGGAUUUCUGUUGGCCCUUUCCAGGCUCCCCCAGGAGGUUCCUGCCAGGUGCUGUCCCCUCUGUGCAGUGAGUGUUCUGUGUCCCAGUACAGGGAUUGGCACGUGGCUGUAUCCCCACCCUGGGGGUCCAUGUAUGGCACAGCUCUGCCUGCAUGGGGGGCUGCAGCAGUUGGGAUUUGUUGCCCAGAGUCCCCCAAUAUGAUGCCACCCACCCCCAGUCCUGGUUCUGAUGGGCGAGUGGGGCCACAGGCACCCCAGCACAGCAUAACCCUGCUGCCACUUUGGGCUCCCUGACCCACAACACACCCAGGACAGCAGCCGAGGGACCCGUCCAGGGUGUCCCCCGCGGUCUGCCGGGGCAGGAAGGUGCUGCGCUGAUGCUGCCACACGGGAUCCGGCACUGACGGUGCACGGUCGGGCAGGUGUCCUUGGGGCGGCUGGGGACUGUCGGGACACCCCCUGGGGACACAGGACCGCUCUGGGGACGCACCCCGGUGGCCCGGGGCCGUUCCGGGGGCGGCAGGGCCGGGUCCUCCCGCGGUCCCCUCGCGGUCCCCUCGCUGUCCCCGCUCCCGGCUCCGCGCGCACGUGGCCGGGCCGGGCCGUGCCCCGGGCCCCGCCCCGCGCCCCCAUUGGCCCAGGGCCCCUCGUCCCGCGCUCCCAUUGGCCCAGCGCCCCCCGUCCCGCGCUCCCAUUGGCCCCGGUGCCCUCCACAAACAAAGGCCGGCGCCCAGCGGGGGGCCCGACGCGCGGCGCUGAUUGGUGGGGCGGAGGGGGCGGGGCGGGCCCGGGCAGGCCCCGCCCCCCGAGCCACGCCGGGUGCCCUAACAAGGAGAGGGGCGGGGCGUGCCCAUUCAUGCGCGCAGGGGAGGGGCGGGGCCAGCGCGGGGGCCGCGCUUCCCGCGCGCGGCGCGUUCCCACGGCGCGGGCGGGCGAAUGAAUGGGCGCGCGCGGAGGGUCCCGCACGGCUCGGUACGGCCCGGUAAUGCUCCGCACGGCUCGGUACGGCCCGGUAAUGCUCCGCACGGCUCGGUAAGGCUCCGUACGGCCCCCUACACCUCGAGGCCAUUGCCGCGCGUGGGUACGUGCGGGUGGGGAGCGUGUCCACUCGCGGGUGUGACGGUGCCAGGGCGCGCGCGAUGCGUGUCCUGCCUGUGUGUGUCCCUGCGUGUCCCCGGCGCUGCCGCGUCCACACGCACCCCGCUCUGUGCCUUCCACACCCACGCGUGUCCGCCCCCCUCCCCCGCGCGUUUGUUGUGCUGGGAGGUGAGGGGCGUUUCCCGGGGCCCCCCACGAUCGUGGCUCUGCAUCGCCACAGCCCGGCCCUGCAGGUGCCCAAGGACACCACCAUCGGACCCCACAGCCUGGGGACCCCCAUCCCAAAACCCACCCCACAGCUGCCCCUGGGGUGACACCAUGUGGGGGGUCACCACUGUCUCUCACCUCCCCCCAAAACGGGCUGUGCUGUGUAUCCCACUGUGCUGCUAUACCCCCCCACCCGCACAGAUCAGCCCCCUUGCCUCCAUCUCCCUCAUCAUGCCCAUAAAUUGAUUCCCAAUCCGGUUCCCACCCUGCCAGCCCCUCGUGGGACACGCGGCCGCUCCCGGCCCGCGCCGGAGACGUGGACUGAACUUUGGUCCCCGAGCAAUUAAGGUGCCUGAAACUGCACUUCAUUAAUGGUUGUUCUGCAAUAAAACCCAUCAAACUGCCCUUAUUUGCAAUAUAAAA